rnacentral:rRNA from 1 species
AUACGUAGGGGGCGAGCGUUGUCCGGAAUGAUUGGGCGUAAAGGGCGCGUAGGCGGCCCGGUAAGUCUGGAGUGAAAGUCCUGUUUUUGAGAUGGGAAUUGCUUUGGAUACUGUCGGGCUUGAGUGCAGGAGAGGUAAGUGGAAUUCCCAGUGUAGCGGUGAAAUGCGUAGAGAUUGGGAGGAACACCAGUGGCGAAGGCGACUUACUGGACUGUAACUGACGCUGAGGCGCGAAAGUGUGGGGAGCAAACAGGAUUAGAUACCCUGGUAGUCCACACUGUAAACGAUGAAUGCUAGGUGUAGGGGGUAUCGACCCCUUCUGUGCCGCAGUCAACACAAUAAGCAUUCCGCCUGGGGAGUACGGCCGCAAGGUUGAAACUCAAAUGAAUUGACGGG